GGGGAAUAUUGCACAAUGGGCGCAAGCCUGAUGCAGCGACGCCGCGUGGGGGAUGAAGGCCUUCGGGUUGUAAACUCCUUUCAACCAUGACGAAGCAUUAUGUGACGGUAGUGGUAGAAGAAGCACCGGCUAACUACGUGCCAGCAGCCGCGGUAAUACGUAGGGUGCGAGCGUUGUCCGGAAUUACUGGGCGUAAAGAGCUCGUAGGUGGUUUGUCGCGUCGUCUGUGAAAUUCCGGGGCUUAACUCCGGGCGUGCAGGCGAUACGGGCAUAACUUGAGUGCUGUAGGGGAGACUGGAAUUCCUGGUGUAGCGGUGAAAUGCGCAGAUAUCAGGAGGAACACCGAUGGCGAAGGCAGGUCUCUGGGCAGUAACUGACGCUGAGGAGCGAAAGCAUGGGUAGCGAACAGGAUUAGAUACCCUGGUAGUCCAUGCCGUAAACGGUGGGCGCUAGGUGUGGGGGUCUUCCACGACUUCUGUGCCGUAGCUAACGCAUUAAGCGCCCCGCCUGGGGAGUACGGCCGCAAGGCUAAAACUCAAAGGAAUUGACGGGGGCCCGCACAAGCGGCGGAGCAUGUGGAUUAAUUCGAUGCAACGCGAAGAACCUUACCUGGGCUUGACAUAUGCCGGAUCGGCGCAGAGAUGCGUUUUCCCUUGUGGUCGGUAUACAGGUGGUGCAUGGUUGUCGUCAGCUCGUGUCGUGAGAUGUUGGGUUAAGUCCCGCAACGAGCGCAACCCUUGUCUUGUGUUGCCAGCACGUAUGGUGGGGACUCGCGAGAGACUGCCGGGUUAAC
rnacentral:rRNA from 1 species